GACGAACGCUGGCGGCGUGCUUAACACAUGCAAGUCGAACGGAAAGGCCCUGCUUGCAGGGUACUCGAGUGGCGAACGGGGGAGUAACACGUGGGUGAUCUGCCCUGCACUUCGGGGUAAGCCUGGGAAACUGGGUCUAUUACCGCAUAGGAGAGAUUCUUCGUGUUGGGGUUGGAAAGUUUUUUCGGUGUAGGAUGAGCUCGCGGCCUGUCUGCUUGUUGGUGGGGUAAUGGGCUACCAAGGCGGCGACGGGUAGGCGGCCUGGGAGGGUGGACGGCCACAUUGGGACUGGGAUACGGCCCAGACUCCUACGGGGGGGAGGAGGGGGGAAUAUUGCACAAUGGGGGGGAGGCUGAUGGAGCGACGCCGCGUGGGGGAUGACCGGCUUCGGGUUGUAAACUCGUUUCGCCAGGGACGAAGCUUUUUGUGACGGUACCUAGAUAAGAAGCACCGGCUAACUACGUG
rnacentral:rRNA from 1 species